rnacentral:rRNA from 1 species
GUGUCAGCAGCCGCGGUAAUACGUAGGGGGCAAGCGUUGUCCGGAAUUAUUGGGCGUAAAGCGCGCGCAGGCGGCGAUGUAAGUCUGGUGUUUAAGCCCAGGGCUCAACCCUGGUUCGCACUAGAAACUGCAUGGCUUGAGUGUAGGAGAGGAAAGUGGAAUUCCACGUGUAGCGGUGAAAUGCGUAGAGAUGUGGAGGAACACCAGUGGCGAAGGCGACUUUCUGGCCUAUAACUGACGCUGAGGCGCGAAAGCGUGGGGAGCAAACAGGAUUAGAAACCCUCGUAGUCC